rnacentral:rRNA from 1 species
GGAUUAGUGGUUUAAUUCGAUGAUACGCGAGGAACCUUACCAAGGCUUAAAUGGGAAUUGAUCGGUUUAGAAAUAGACCUUCCUUCGGGCAAUUUUCAAGGUGCUGCAUGGUUGUCGUCANCUCGUGCCGUGAGGUGUUAGGUUAAGUCCUGCAACGAGCGCAACCCCUGUCACUAGUUGCUAGCAUUAAGUUGAGGACUCUAGUGAGACUGCCUACGCAAGUAGAGAGGAAGGUGGGGAUGACGUCAAAUCAUCACGGCCCUUACGCCUUGGGCCACACACGUAAUACAAUGGCCGGUACAGAGGGCAGCUACACAGCGAUGUGAUGCAAAUCUCGAAAGCCGGUCUCAGUUCGGAUUGGAGUCUGCAACUCGACUCUAUGAAGCUGGAAUCGCUAGUAAUCGCGCAUCAGCCAUGGCGCGGUGAAUACGUUCCCGGGCCUUGUACACACCGCCCGUCAAGCCAUGGAAGUCUGGGGUACCUGAAGUCGGUGACCGUAAAAGGAGCUGCCUAGGGUAAAACAGGUAACUAGGGCUAAGUCGUAACAA